rnacentral:rRNA from 2 species
UGGGGGAUAUUGCACAAUGGGCGAAAGCCUGAUGCAGCGACGCCGCGUGGGGGAUGAAGGCUUUCGGGUUGUAAACCUCUUUCGCUAUCGAACAAGGCCCGCUUAGGGUGGGUUGAGGGUAGGUGGAGAAGAAGCGCCGGCUAACUACGUGCCAGCAGCCGCGGUAAUACGUAGGGCGCGAGCGUUGUCCGGUAUUAUUGGGCGUAAAGGGCUUGUAGGCGGCUUGUUGCGCCUGCUGUGAAAACGCGGGGCUUAACUUCGCGCGUGCAGUGGGUACGGGCAGGCUUGAGUGUGGUAGGGGUGACUGGAAUUCCAGGUGUAGCGGUGGAAUGCGCAGAUAUCUGGAGGAACACCGAUGGCGAAGGCAGGUCACUGGGCCAUUACUGACGCUGAGGAGCGAAAGCAUGGGUAGCGAACAGG